rnacentral:lncRNA from 1 species
ACUACAAGAAACAUUGAAGUUAGCUAGGAAUUAUACCGAGGAAUUAAGUUUCCUAGCUAGCGACAUUACAUACCGAGGAAAAUUUCCUAGGUAAGCUUCUUUGACCGUUUGACCACUUUAAAGCUGUCAGCAUGUGUGUUAGCGAGGAAAUAGAGGUGUUACCGAGGAAAUAUUUCCUAGGUAAACACAUGGUACAAAAUGCAGCAGCUUUUUACUGUUAAAGGUAACAUGGCAGCUGUAUUUUUACGUUGGAGAGUGAAAAAGCCUGGCAGAUGCAAUUGAUAUUAGCAGGUGAACGUUGAAAUGCACUGUUGGGAUAUUUAAUUGGCUUCAUGUGAAUAAAUAUGUCUUUGAACACUUCUCUAUUACAUUUUCCAUUCCAUAUUUUUGACACUUCUCACUACAAUUUUAUUUUCCAUCUCUAAUAUUCAACAAUUGCUCUUGCAUGUGUUUUUUCUUCAUAUAAG